rnacentral:rRNA from 1 species
GUGACUGCGUACCUUUUGUAUAAUGGGUCAGCGACUUAUAUUCUGUAGCAAGGUUAACCGUAUAGGGGAGCCGAAGGGAAACCGAGUCUUAACUGGGCGUUAAGUUGCAGGGUAUAGACCCGAAACCCGGUGAUCUAGCCAUGGGCAGGUUGAAGGUUGGGUAACACUAACUGGAGGACCGAACCGACUAAUGUUGAAAAAUUAGCGGAUGACUUGUGGCUGGGGGUGAAAGGCCAAUCAAACCGGGAGAUAGCUGGUUCUCCCCGAAAGCUAUUUAGGUAGCGCCUCGUGAAUUCAUCUUCGGGGGUAGAGCACUGUUUCGGCUAGGGGGUCAUCCCGACUUACCAACCCGAUGCAAACUGCGAAUACCGAAGAAUGUUAUCACGGGAGACACACGGCGGGUGCUAACGUCCGUCGUGAAGAGGGAAACAACCCAGACCGCCAGCUAAGGUCCCAAAGUCAUGGUUAAGUGGGAAACGAUGUGGGAAGGCACAGACAGCCAGGAUGUUGGCUUAGAAGCAGCCAUCAUUUAAAGAAAGCGUAAUAGCUCACUGGUCGAGUCGGCCUGCGCGGAAGAUGUAACGGGGCUAAACCAUGCACCGAAGCUGCGGCAGCGACACUAUGUGUUGUUGGGUAGGGGAGCGUUCUGUAAGCCGUUGAAGGUG